AUCAAAAAACCUACAGCUGUUAUAUAUUGCAUAUACAUACUGUAUUUGACAGCUAAUAUAUGAAACAACACUCUGAGACCAAGUCUCAUACUGUAUUUCACAACACUUCUGAGACUCAACGAUUACAACAACAAACAAUGAUAUGCAAGCUAAUAUAUGCAAAUGUCAGACCAAUAAUAUGCAAAUGUCAGACCAAAGCAAUAACAUGUAUCUUUUUGAAACUUUUAGCAAAUGAUAGAUCAAACCCUAGUCAAAUGAUAAAUGUCAGACCAAAACUUUUAGCAAUACCAAACAUCACACAUCAAACAAAACAAACAGAGGGACAAAAGUGUUAAUACCAGAAUGUUUCAACGUCUGGGAUUGGGUGUACAGACAAUCGAGGAAGAUGUUCUCGGCCUGGAAGAGCUAGCAAACGAUCCAGCAUUUCUUGGUAGUCUUCCCCAGGAUUAGGGUUUUCUUCGUCAUCUUCUUGUCCUACAUCAUCGAUCUCUUCCUCUACAAGGUCUUCAUUUUCAGGUAGCACUUGGUUAUUCGCAUCAUGUUCCGGUAGAGGCUGGGUUUGAGGAGACGGUGGCUGAUGCUGCGGCUGAGGAGGAGGAGUCUGUCUAUUGAGAGGAGGAGUCUGCCUAGGAGGAGGAUUCUGUCUACUAGAAUUAAGUGAAGGACGACUCACUUG
rnacentral:lncRNA from 1 species